UACGGGGGGAGCAAGCGUUGUUCGGAUUUACUGGGCGUAAAGGGCGCGUAGGCGGCCAGCACAAGUCAGUUGUGAAAUCUCCGGGCUUAACUCGGAAAGGUCAGCUGAUACUGUGCGGCUAGAGUGCAGAAGGGGCAACUGGAAUUCUCGGUGUAGCGGUGAAAUGCGUAGAUAUCGAGAGGAACACCUGCGGCGAAGGCGGGUUGCUGGGCUGACACUGACGCUGAUGCGCGAAAGCCAGGGGAGCGAACGGG
rnacentral:rRNA from 1 species